rnacentral:rRNA from 1 species
AAUAGAUACCCGGGUAGUCCACGCCGUAAACGAUGAGUGCUAAGUGUUAGAGGGUUUCCGCCCUUUAGUGCUGCAGCUAACGCAUUAAGCACUCCGCCUGGGGAGUACGGUCGCAAGACUGAAACUCAAAGGAAUUGACGGGGGCCCGCACAAGCGGUGGAGCAUGUGGUUUAAUUCGAAGCAACGCGAAGAACCUUACCAGGUCUUGACAUCCUCUGACAACUCUAGAGAUAGAGCGUUCCCCUUCGGGGGACAGAGUGACAGGUGGUGCAUGGUUGUCGUCAGCUCGUGUCGUGAGAUGUUGGGUUAAGUCCCGCAACGAGCGCAACCCUUGAUCUUAGUUGCCAGCAUUCAGUUGGGCACUCUAAGGUGGCUGCCGGUGACAAACCGGAGGAAGGUGGGGAUGACGUCAAAUCAUCAUGCCCCUUAUGACCUGGGCUACACACGUGCUACAAUGGAUGGUACAAAGGGCUGCAAGACCGCGAGGUCAAGCCAAUCCCAUAAAACCAUUCUCAGUUCGGAUUGU